rnacentral:sRNA from 2 species
CCGGAUGGAACGCCUAAUCCUGCCGCCGUCCGGCAAUCAGACCUACUUACGUACGGCAGGAGCGGGGGACCCAGGUAAGCCGCCGAUCCGGUAUCCGGAUCGGCUCGGGGUGAAGUCGCAUUCGCGUGCGGCCAGGCAACUCCAGCCUGAACCCGACAGCUCACCUCGUAGGCGACGGAGAGGAAUU